rnacentral:tRNA from 10 species
GCCGAGAUAGCUCAGUCGGUAGAGCGCGAACAUGGUAAGUUCGAGGUCCCGGGUUCGAUUCCCGGUCUCGGCU